rnacentral:rRNA from 1 species
AAACUUAAAGGAAUUGACGGGGAGCACCACAACGGGUGGAGCUUGCGGUUUAAUUGGAUUCAACGCCGGAAAUCUUACCGGGACCGACAGCAAUAUGAAGGCCAGGCUGAAGACUUUGUCGGAUUAGCUGAGAGGUGGUGCAUGGCCGUCGUCAGUUCGUACUGUGAAGCAUCCUGUUAAGUCAGGCAACGAGCGAGACCCACGCCCACAGUUGCCAGCGUACUCUCUGGAGUGACGGGUACACUGUGGGGACCGCCGCUGCUAAAGCGGAGGAAGGAAUGGGCAACGGUAGGUCAGUAUGCCCCGAAUAUCCCGGGCUACACGCGAGCUACAAUGGUUGGUACAAUGGGUAUCUACCCCGAAAGGGGACGGGAAUCUCCUAAAACCAAUCUUAGUUCGGAUUGAGGGCUGCAACUCGCCCUCAUGAAGCUGGAAUCCGUAGUAAUCGCGUUUCAACAGAACGCGGUGAAUACGUCCCUGCUCCUU